rnacentral:rRNA from 1 species
UACGGAGGGUGCAAGCGUUAUCCGGAUUUACUGGGUUUAAAGGGUGCGCAGGCGGAUAUGUAAGUCAGUGGUGAAAUCUCUAGGCUUAACCUGGAAAUUGCCGUUGAUACUAUAUAUCUUGAAUGCUGUGGAGGUAAGCAGAAUAUGUCAUGUAGCGGUGAAAUGCUUAGAUAUGACAUAGAAUACCUAUUGCGAAGGCAGCUUACUACGCAGAUAUUGACGCUCAUGCACGAAAGCGUGGGGAUCAAACAGG